rnacentral:rRNA from 1 species
UUGCGUAGGCGGCUUUGUAAGCGAAGUGUGAAAUUGUGUGGCUCAACCAUACACCCAUGCUUUGAACUGCAUGGCUAGAGAGUGGAAGAGGUUGCUAGAAUUCCUGGUGUAGGGGUGGAAUCCGUAGAUAUCAGGAGGAAUACCGAUGGCGUAGGCAGGCAACUGGUCCAUUUCUGACGCUCAGGCACGAAAGCGUGGGGAGCGACCG